UCCACUUCCGGCUUCUCUAGCUACCGUGGCUAGUCGCCGCUCACCGCAAUCUGUCGGGUCUCAGAGCGAGGCUGCGGUUUCCCCUUCCGGGGCAUAGGGCAGCACCUGGAGCCGUUGCCCGACUAGGGGUCGUGACCCCAGAUGUCGCCACGUUCGCUUUCCCUGGCGGGGAGGGCGCGUCCCAGCCACCGGCCUAGCGCCUGGCCCGGCCCGUUACAGCCACGGUCAGGGACGGGCUCGCCCCCGGGUGCGGUCACCCAACCCUUCACAGGCCCCUCAAUGGCAAAACCCACCCCCCGCUCUUCUCGCCGCCUCGCGCGGGGCGCCCGGUCGCUGUCCUCGCGGCUCCCGGGGGCGCGUUCCGGGGCGGCGAGUGAGAGGAAGGGUUUUAACCCCCGGCCUGUCAACUUCGAGUUGAACCAGUUGCUUAAUUUCCCACCAGUUCUUCGGGCACCGCAGGAGUCUUGGUACGUCGCUUUUAUCACGGCAGUUGUCUUACCUCGAAUGCCCUGGCGCUGGGCUGCUUUCCAUAAUACGUCUUCAAACUGAAUCAAAUGUGUUUGCGAAGUGGAGGAACAGAGCAAGCAUCUUUUCCGGGGAGCCUUCCAGACCAGGAAAAGCUUGGAGAAUGUGAGCGACUCCACCUCCAAAGGGCAACAUGCGGCUCAUGAACUCAGGAAGACACAGCCUGCCUUGCCCAGAAGAGCUCAGAGGACAGGAGACAGAACAGUUAUUUGAGAUUGUACAGUCUCAUGAUUUCCUCCUGUAGAUCUUGAAUAUGAUAGGUGAGAGCAUGGUGCCUCUGGAGCCCCACAGGUGAAUGAUCUGCUGAAGACCAGUGCUUCAUCACUCUGAACAUAGUCUGCAAAGAAGAAUUGGUGGAAUCUUAGAGCAUUCUUCUCCAGGCCUGUAUUAGUGUGGUACACUGCAGCUAACAGUACCAGGUGCCAUGGAGGGACUGAGGGUCAUGCAAAUAGGCACCCUUGCCUUGUGUGGGGAUAGGAGGAGGUCAGUGAUGCCAUUUCUGCUCCAUGACCUGGCUGGGAGCUGAACUGGGAAGAUUCCUGUAUAUUGGGAUGUACAGGAGUAGUUGGAGAUGUCUUUUCCCUUUCCUGGCCUUCCAGAUUUCCUUCUUCCAAGUGCUCUGCCUCCCUUCACUUCAGACUGAGCCCUUGCAAGAUGCCCAGUGCCCACAGGGACAUGCUUCAACCAAGCUGGAGGCUUAUGACUGGCACUGAGCUAUACUGAUGUGCUGUUGCCAGCAUUCCCCACUGGCAGCACAUUUUAAAUCCUGACCCAUCCUGGUUUUGAAUGAUUGGCAGUUACCCAAUGUUCCCAACAUCACUCUUGGUACAGUCCAUUAAUCUAUGUUCCCCCAUGCUGAUUGUGAGCUCUUCCUUGCAGUAUGGGCAUUUCUUAACAGUGAUUGGUCUCUCUUCUCUGUGCCCCCGUGUCUCAGAGGGUUCGAUUGGUCCAUAAUAGCUCACAUUCUCUCUCUAAAGCAGUUAUUCCUGGAAGUGAGUGUGCAUGCACAUGGUGAAGGAGUGCAGGCGAGGCACAUGUGCAGGAAGGGAUGGUAGGAAGGUCAAGGCAUUUGGCAGUCUAGGUCUUGGCCUGCCAAAGCUGUGCUCUGUGCAAACCAAACCUAUCAAGCAGUUUGCUCUCAGGAAAGGGAAGAGUAUGGUCAGCCUGAAAGCCAGCUGUAUGUAGUUAUGGUGCGUCACGUUGCCAGCUGUCACUUGUUAGAAUGAAAGGUGCUUUUACUCUCAGUCUUUAAGGGGAUACAUCUUUAUUCAAAGUACCCACAGCAUUGGAGAGGGGGGGUGACUGCUAAUUUUGGUGCCGUCUUUUGCAAACUGGUGUUCUUUUAAAGAAAUCGGAAGUUUCAUGGACUUAUGGCUACCGUGCUGGUGGGUUGGUUUCUUGGCUGGGUGUGUGACCACUAGGUGUCACUGCAGGCUUGUGUACAAACAAAAAGCCACUGAAUAAUUUCCACAUAUUGUUCAUUUGCUGCAGUUGUAAUUUAUGCUUCUAGGGCCAUUUAUCAUGAAGCCGUCUGCUCUCCUAUUCCAUGGCUGAAGGCUGCUAGAGUAUGUCUCACUAGGCUCCUGAGAAUCAAAGUACUGGAGCUGAUUUCACUAAAAGCUGUCACGGCACAUUACUGGAGCACAUUUUAUUAAAGUUCAUUUUCCAGACUUAAAUUUAA